UACAGAGGGUGCGAGCGUUAAUCGGAUUUACUGGGCGUAAAGCGUGUGUAGGUGGUUAUUCAAGUCGGUUGUGAAAUCCCCGGGCUCAACCUGGGAAUUGCUUCCGAGACUGAAAGACUAGAGUACGGUAGAGGGUGGUGGAAUUUCCGGUGGAGCGGUGAAAUGCGUAGAUAGCGGAAGGAACAGCAAUGGCGAAGGCAGCCACCUGGGCCUGUACCGAUACUGAGACACGAAAGCGUGGGGAGCAAACAGG
rnacentral:rRNA from 1 species